rnacentral:rRNA from 1 species
AACCAGAAGGCGCAAUGAGAGUGAAGGCACGUUCGGCGUGCUGAGGUGAGAGCUGUCGGUGGCAGCGCAUCAUCGACCGAUCCCAUCCGCUCCCCACGGUGCGGAGGGAAUCGAGUAAGAGUGUACCUGUUGCGACCCGAAAGAUGGUGAACUAUGCCUGAAUAGGGUGAAGCCAGAGGAAACUCUGGUGGAGGCCCGUAGCGAUUCUGACGUGCAAAUCGAUCGUCAAAUUUGGGUAUAGGGGCGAAAGACUAAUCGAACCAUCUA